ACAAAUCAGGAGAAAAUUAAAGAGAACUGCGGAUGCUGUCUUCACUGCAUAAAUUACAUUAUUGACGAAAGGAAACUGGAAAACAUUGAAGAAUGGUUGACAAAUGUUUUGCAAAAAUUCCCGGCAGAACAUAUCAGUAAUCAUGAGUACACCAAUCUUAUCACCAGAAUACUUGGGUUUACAAUGAUCAUGAAGAACCCAAGCCCAUGGAGUUUAACACCAUCAGAGAACCGAAAGCUCAAUGACUACGCAAUUACUGGAAGUGAAUCAGGACUUUCUAGUGAAGCACCUGAAAGUUGGAUCUGGUUGAGAAAAGGGCAACUUGAAGCUUUGAGUUGUUUGCGUGCUAUUUUCUCUGCUGAUUACGGGACUGGGAAGACGCUUUUACUGAAGAGAAAAGCCCUGGAUUUAAGUAAAAAGGCUGCCAAUCAAGGAAAUA